GCAUUUGCUAGUCCCAUGAGAGCUUUUACCAGCAGCAACAAAGCUUCUUCUAAGAACAAGAAUGAUAGAAAGAACAAUAACAAUGCAUCAUCAUCAUCACCAAACUUAUCUGCUAUUCCUUCAUUGCUCACUGUUUCAACCUGAAUCACAAGUACGGAGUACUCUACUCUCUCCCAUUGCCAUUCAUUUAUGACACUAUUUGGAGAGAGAUAGAAAGAGAAGGAACUUUAUUAUCUCAAUGCAUUGUUCAGUUCAAUUUCGCUGUGUCAUCAUAGUCUGCUUCUUUUGGUUGUAUUCUUUGUAGCUUUUUCAUCUUGUAAUUUCAGUACUCACAGUAUGAUGCUAUGGUGUAAGAUAAUGAUGUAAUUUUUAAGUUAUUAUUGUAGACUAUACUCUGUUCACAUUUUCACAUGCAUACACAUGUUUGGUUUGGUUGAUGCAAACAAAACCAAGUAGGGGGAAUCACACUAGCUAAGCCAUGCUAUUAUGUGUCUAUGCUAUGUAAAUUCAAUUUAAUCAAUCAUUAAGCUUAUUCAUGAUAUUAUAUUUAUUAUUUACACA